rnacentral:rRNA from 1 species
CAGUCGCCGCGGUAAUGCGAAGGGUGCAAGCGUUAAUCGGAAUUACUGGGCGUAAAGCGUGCGUAGGCGGUGAGUUAAGUCUGCUGUGAAAUCCCCGGGCUCAACCUGGGAAUGGCAGUGGAUACUGGCUCGCUAGAGUGUGUCAGAGGAUGGUGGAAUUCCCGGUGUAGCGGUGAAAUGCGUAGAGAUCGGGAGGAACAUCAGUGGCGAAGGCGGCCAUCUGGGACAACACUGACGCUGAGGCACGAAAGCGUGGGGAGCAAACAGGAUUAGAUACCCGGGUAGUCCCUGUCUCUUAUAC